AGAACGAACGCUGGCGGCAUGCCUAAUACAUGCAAGUCGAACGAACUCUUCGGAGUUAGUGGCGCACGGGUGCGUAACGCGUGGGAAUCUGCCCCUUGGUUCGGAAUAACAGUUGGAAACGACUGCUAAUACCGGAUGAUGACGAAAGUCCAAAGAUUUAUCGCCAAGGGAUGAGCCCGCGUAGGAUUAGCUAGUUGGUGAGGUAAAGGCUCACCAAGGCAACGAUCCUUAGCUGGUCUGAGAGGAUGAUCAGCACA
rnacentral:rRNA from 1 species